CCCUCUCGCCCCGCUUCGCGCAUGCGCAAAAUGCCGGCGGGGAAGGGGGCGUCUUCGUCCCGGCGCUCUGGUGUCCAUGGGCCGGCCAGGACCGCGACUGGCGGUGGGAAGCUGGGAACUGGAGCCUCGGGUGAAGAUGGAGAAAAGAGCGAGGAUCAGUUUACCUUGAAAUACGUUACAGAGGAGAAAUGGAAGGAUUUUUUGAAAAAAAAGACUAACAAAGGAAGAGUCCUGAGUGGAUACUCUAUUUGGAGAACAGAAGGAAAAAGUGUUCCUGUAACUUCCUGUUGUAAUGUACUCUAAUUUUGUCUUUGAAUAAAAGAACCUGAUGCUACAUGGGAAUUUGCAUGAUUACCACAAUACAUGAUUAUGGUAAUCAGAGUUGCCCAGUCUUGCAAACCAUCUAUCUUGUCAGUGUCCCUUUAAGAUGUAAAUUUCCAGAUGUGAUCUGUUACAGUUCAGAGGAAUUGUAACCUCCAAUCAUCUGGUCAUUAAAUAUCUACUUGUAAAGCCCAGUUAUUUUAGUGUCUUUGGAGAUUACUUGCCCUACUGAUUUCUAUUAACCGUGUGUUCUUAUAGGGAGCUAGGGAGUGCAGAAGUCACCAGGGAGCUGUGCCCUGGAAUCCCACAGGAUAUAGGUAGAGAUGACUGACACACAGCAUCUUUACAUUCUGCACCCUGUGCAUUUACUUUUUUUUUAAAAGGAAUUUCAUAUCAAGUUAUCAUAUUUUUCUUACUAUAUAUAUUCUAAAAUAUGUUAUUUAAA
rnacentral:lncRNA from 1 species